ACCGGCAGACGGGUGAGUUACGCGUGGGAACGUACCAUUUGGCUCGGAACAACACAGGGAAACUUGUGCUAAUACCGGAUAAGCCCUUCCGGGGGAAGAUUUAUCUCCGAAAGAUCGGACCGCGUCUGAUUAGCUAGUUGGUGGGGUUAUGGCCCACCAAGGCGACGAUCAGUAGCUGGUCUGAGAGGAUGAUCAGCCACAUUGGGACUGAGACACGGUCCCAAACUCCUACGGGAGGCAGCAGUGGGGAAUAUUGGACAAUGGGGACAACCCUGAUCCAGCCAUGCCGCGUGAGUGAUGAAGGCCCUAGGGUUGUAAAGCUCUUUUGUGCGGGAAGAUAAUGACGGUACCGCAAGAAUA
rnacentral:rRNA from 1 species